rnacentral:rRNA from 1 species
GAUGAACGCUAGCGGCAGGCCUAACACAUGCAAGUCGAGGGGUAGUCCCGAUUUAUCGGGAUGAGACCGGCGCACGGGUGCGUAACGCGUAUGCAAUCUACCUUAUACUAAGGGAUAGCCCAGAGAAAUUUGGAUUAAUACCUUAUAGUUAAUAAAAAAGGCAUCUUUUUAAUUAUAAAGAUUAAUUGGUAUAAGAUGAGCAUGCGUCCCAUUAGUUAGUUGGUAAGGUAACGGCUUACCAAGACGAUGAUGGGUAGGGGUCCUGAGAGGGAGAUCCCCCACACUGGUACUGAGACACGGACCAGACUCCUACGGGAGGCAGCAGUGAGGAAUAUUGGUCAAUGGGCGCAAGCCUGAACCAGCCAUGCCGCGUGCAGGAUGACGCAUCUAUGGUGUGUAAACUGCUUUUGUACAGGAAGAAACCUCCCGACGAGUCGGGACUUGACGUACUGAAG